AUGUUGGUACACCUGAUACCAUUCGAUUCGUGACAAAUAUGAAAUACAUAGAAUUCGAUAUUUUAUUUGUUAAUUCCGCCAUUGUGCUUUUAGCAAGCAUAAGUGGUGUAGUGUUAUUAAUGCUUGCAAGUUAAAAGUGAAUGAAACUCAAAUAUAUGUAAAAAAGAAGAGGUAUUACAACAACAGCAGCCUGGAUCAGAGACUAAUCAUAAGACGUAAUAUUCAAUCAUGCUGGUCGCCGGUCAUCGUUCAACAGUUCCAGUCUGGAUCCCUAUCAGAGAUUUAAGCCAAGUCCAAGCAUUUUCCAUUGGUGACAGAAACUUUAUGGAGGCAGUUUUAAUAAACGUAGAAUUGGUCUCAGCGGGGACCCGUUAACCGAUCGGGAGGCGUCGAAAAGAAGCGAAAAAUCCGUGGCCCGGUUCCGCAGUAAAUUCAGCCUGUAAAUUCGCCGCAACCCUUGAGGAUCCGCUCGCCACGGGAGAAACAAUGUUCGACGUUUCGUCGGCUUGUUCGGGACAGGUCCGGUCAUUAACGGUUCAGGUACGUCUACCAUCAGCUGAAAGGUUGUUCCUCUGUUCCAGAGGCCGGGCCCGGCUUGACCCUUUCAUUCCUGCCGCUCAUCCUUCGUUCGAGGGAAAAAGUUCGUUUCAACGGUAUCAUGAUUACGGUUCACAGCUCUCGAGGUGUCUAAACAAUCUAUCGCCACGUUCGAAUGCCAUUUCUAAACCGAUUGUGAUCCUAGUUUGACCGGAUAAUGCGAUUUUUCAGCUGAAAUUUAGGUUAAUGGAGGGGGUUGCUUUUGGAAAUCCCUUUAGGAUGAGAUUUAAGGGAGUACACCUGUCAGACGGUUUCAAAAAAUCGAUUCUUUUUUAUUUUAUUAAAUUUUGAAGUCUAUAGAAUGUUGUGUUAACACUAAACACGUACCGGUCAAAUGAUCGGUUGUAAACUUUUGAUCAGAAAAUUCGCAUAAAAUGUUAUCGCUGUUUUA